rnacentral:rRNA from 1 species
UACGUAGGGGGCAAGCGUUGUCCGGAUUUAUUGGGCGUAAAGAGCGUGUAGGCGGCUAGGUAGGUCCGUUGUGAAAACUCGAGGCUCAACCUCGAGACGCCGGUGGAAACCAUCUAGCUAGAGUCCGGAAGAGGAGAGUGGAAUUCCCGGUGUAGCGGUGAAAUGCGCAGAUAUCGGGAGGAACACCGGUGGCGAAGGCGGUUCUCUGGGCCUGUGCUGACGCUGAGGAGCGAAAGCGUGGGGAGCAAACAGG